AUGGUGCAAUGCACAUGGAUUCUGGCUCUGGUAAUGGACAGGAAGCAGUCCCUGGAGACAGGGCCACACUUACCCUAAUGACAGUCUCCGGGGUCUUCAUCCAGCCUGAGCACCCUGCAUGGAGCCUGGCCUGAAGUGCUCCAGCUCAGAGGAGGAGGAGGGAGAGGCAGGCACCUUCUGUCCAACAGGAAGAAGGAACCCAAGACUGAAGACCCACAGCUAAAGAUGAUGAAACUAAGACUAAGAGAAGUUCACCAACUUGUCCAAGGCCACAACUCACAGUGGAAUCUGAACUCGGCUCCAUAUGACUCGAGUCCCACGAUCUUUUCAUGUUCCCUGCUACCUCUCCCUCUCAGCCUGCUACAGUGAUGGGACAUUUAUGAACUUGCAAAAUGCUUUCUCACAAAUUAUCUUAUUUGAUUUUCACAAACAUGCGUGAGGCAGGUAUAAGUUCUGUUCUAUGGAUGAACAAUUGGUCUUCAGGUAAAGAACAACUUGUCCAAGGUCAAAUAGCUGAUAAGUAUCUGGGAACUGGGACCUAAAUACACAUUUGAUGAGUAACUUUGCCACAAUAUCUUAUCUGGACACUUGAAAACAUACUCCAGCCCUGUCAUAAACCCAGGAGAAUUUGAAGAUGUCCCUCCCUACUUACAGCCUGGUUUCAUGAUCACUAGAAACUUGUUUAACUAAACUCCUUUCUGUUCUCAGGAUGGCUCAGGGGACUGAGCUGGGAAAAAAAAGGCCUCAGAAGGGAAAUGGAGGCCCAGAAAGCUUUGGUGAGCAGCUCGAGAUUACACAGGACAUGGAGACCAGAACUCAUGUUUCCUCAAAUAGUUCAUUUCCAGGGGGCUUUUAGGCUAUUACUUCUAUAAUCUGCCCUCUGUCUGCCUCAGGGACUCUCCCCUCCAACCCCCAUUUGGACCAUGAACUGAUGCCAAUGGCACCAAGGAAGCAUCAACUGAUACUGGGCAGAAGGGCAGGGCAGUGGCCCCUGGGAGUCUUCAUGGCUCCUCUGGCAGAAAGUACCUGGAGGCAUCAGCUCAUGGACCUGGAGCAUAUCAGCAAGGAACAGAGAUAAACUGUACUGCAUCACCACCCUGGCACUACUCAUGAGAAACUUUCCCAACCAUUAUGCUUCGUUGACUUGGCCGGGAAGGAGUUAACACACAACAUUCUGACCCUCUCGGAGGCUAUUACGCUGCUGUCGCAAGAUCGACGAGGGGAGAAAAAUGAAAACAGUGCACAGGAAACAAUGGAGGGCAAAUGGGACUCUUUUAGAACCGGAUCCACUGAUACGUCAGGCCAAGGAGAAAUGACCACAAGCUCUGAAAAGUGGAGAGCUCCCCCAGACAGCAAAGCCAGCUGCCCCGGCACCUCUGCACAGUCCUUUUCUGAAUCUGCCCCUCACCGUGCUCCCCACCUGCACCCCGUCCUCAGAACAGAUUGCCUUGCCUGACCUCCUGAGGCCGAUGGAGAUGGUGACGUGACCUCCUUUGCCCUCCAUCACUGUGCCUCCCACACCUCUGCGCAGCUCGUUCAUUCUCUCUCCCUCCACUCUGACUUAAGGGAAGAGGAAUUUUAAAACCAACCUCAUCCCUUCCCACCUCCUCAGGAAACUCACUCCUUUGCUUACCCUCUCUCCGCUUUUAAAAACAACGAUAAAAAUGCCCCUUUCGCCUGUGAUUCCUUCUAAGCACAGACCCUUCUUGCUUAAGCCCCUGUGAGUUAAUUUUCAAUCUCACAGCUCUUCUCAAUCCAACAGUAUUUUUGCAGCUUUCAGCCUCGGGAAGCUCUUGAUGGGCUCGUCUGCCACGCUACCAACUUCCUUCCUGGAAGUCCCUCCCCGUCUUCUGCGUCUGCCUUGUGCCCAUUCUCCGUCUGGGGUCAGUCCUCUGCCGUCCGGCAGGCCCAUCCUCCACUCCCCAUUAUGGUCCCUCUUUACAGCCUCAUCUGGUCUCUCAUUACACUCUGCAGUAGCCUGAUGGUCAGCUCUUUAAUCAAAUCCCAUUCAGUUCCCUAAAGUACCAAAGUUCCCCAUGAGUCCCUAGAACAGUGUCCUAAAUCAGACACGUCACCCUCUCUACCCCAAUACUGGCCCCACUUCCUCACCA